GGCCAGGCCAGGGCGGAUUGGGGUGGGGGCCGCAUCUCGCGUCGCACGCCGCCGAGCGGCGAGCAGGCGGAGCCGUAGGGGACGGCCACGGCGGCGUGCGAGAGGAGGCGCCGCAGGGGCGCAGCCGGUCCGUCGCGUCGCAGGGAUGGUAAUCCUGGUGGAGCGUGUGGCCCUACUCCGUCUCCUCCCCACCUUCUCCCUCCCGCACAUCAGUGGUGCUGUGGUGGACAGGGAAGGCAGCGGCCCACCGACGGCACCCUCCAUGUGUCUCUUCUCUUGUCACCCAAAUGUUUGAAAGAAGUGAUUAAUUCAGUACACGGUCAUAUCUUCUUGGUGGCAUUCCAAUUGCUGGAAUGAUACUGUUGUAACAAAAAUGGCACGUGCUACAAAUCGUAAAUGCAUAGUUCAAACGGAUUAGUAGUAAGAUUUUAGUCAGAUUCAAGAGUUUCAUCAAUCGCCAGGUUAUGCUGACCAACUUGAAAUAUUCUUGUUGAUUCUUAUAUGUGCUAUUUGGUUCCGGAUGCCAGAGAAGCCGCAGGCUAUGAAUGUAUGCUGAAAAACUUGAGAUCUUAUUGAUUGGUUAUUGUGUUAUUUGGUUUUAGGUGCCGCCGCUAAGGUCGCAGACCUCACAAUGGCCAUGGAGGUUAUGCACGCACUGCUGAUGAUGAGGCUCAUGUGAUAGGGUUGAUGAUGAGGCUGUCGAUAACAAGCCACACGCAGCAAAGAGGGCCUUCCCUAGAGUCUGCUGCAAUCCAUAUGUCGUUGGGAUAGGCUGCUGGAGUGGUGUUCAUGACCGCUGGUGCAGCUUGGGGAGAGAUGCCCGCAUUGAUGUAUAGCAAGUUUCCUGAAGCCAAGGAUGCUUAAUUGGUAUGACAACCUUAUCUUGCAAAAGUUAUACUAGAGGAACAUCUAGGAGCAAGUACUUAAGGUUGUUUGUCUUCUAGUAAUCAAAUCCCUCCGAGC